rnacentral:lncRNA from 1 species
GACCUGGGGUCCCUGCUUCUCCAGGUGCUCCCGGAUUUUGCUCUCUAGCCUCCGGUUCUCGGUCUCCAGGCUCCUCACUCUGUCCAGAUGUGGGCCACCAGCCUUAAGCCAGAGGGAGCUUUGUAAGACAGGAACAUAUAAAAUGAUAAAAGCUUCUCUACGUACAGUUUUCCUGACUCUGAUUCUGCGUGGGACAACCAGUGAAAAUUGCAGGUGAAGAGAAGAAAUGCGUAUUUAUUCCUCCACUGGGAAAAAAAAUACCAUCCAAAGCUACAUGACUUGAGAGACAAGGUCUCACUAUGUUGCCCAGGCUGGCCUCGAACUCCCGGGCUUCAGCAGUCCUCCCGCCUCACCCUCCGAUGUAGCUAGGACUACAGGACCGCGACCCGGCGCUGCCUAAGAACUGUUUUUAAACGUGAAAGCCACGGCUAUCAUUUGCUUUUUGCUCUGCUCUUCAUCUUCUGGAUAAACCUCGUAACACACUGCUUGUUUUGGGGUCCGGCCGCCGGCGCCAAGCCUCAAGGCAUCCAAGCCAGGAACGAUCGCGGUCAGCUCUGCCACGGAACAUGUGCAAGACCCGGCAGCAGGUUCCGGGGGAGGCGAAUUGAUUUCACAACGGUCGAGAAGGAGGACCCCGCCCACUUCGUCAUUUCUCGGAAGCCCAGGGACUCGCCGGAAGAGCGGCUCAAAAGCCGGAAAACUGGCAAAUCCGAGUCUCCCGGCGCAUGCGCGGCGCAAUCGGCUUCGCGUGGUUGCAGUAGAGAGGAUCCCUCCGCCAGCCACUGCAUCCGGCGGCCGGAUCUAACUUACCCGCUAGCGUUUUACCCUUGCGCGGCCGUGGCGUAGGGCGGUCUUUUCCCUUGGUCCUCCGCGGCGCCGCCUCUUGUGACGUAAGCCGCAGAAUCCUCUGUCUUAGUUCGGCUCUAUUGCCGCGAGCUUGACUCUUCCUGGGUCUGAGGAAAAGUAAAAGUAAUUUUGUCAUUUCCUGAAACUUCAAGUUAAACCUUUAAGCUGUUCAUUUCCUAAAAGGGUGAAAACGCGGGCACCCCUCGAGCUAGUUCAUCGCCUUUUAACCUGUUGUUGGAUCUUUCCAGAUCACCACACCACAUCACCCAGCCACUCUGCCCAAUGGGAGGGCAGACAGUGUUCCAGUGUAGGAGGAAGGGGUGUAAGGUGCGGGCAGUUUGUGAGGAGGGCACCAACGAGAGCUACUGUGAGAAAGUCUGCAUGGUCAAAAAGUGGAUUACCAAGAACAAAGCAUCAUAAUGUUGUCCAGUGGACCCCAGGUUGAAAAGUCAGGUUCUGGAAUUGGCUGUCUGGAUUAAAAUACUGGUUCCAUCACUGAGAAGCUGUGUGACCUUGCGAAAAUUACUUAAUCUCUUUGUGUUUCAGUUUUCUGAUCUGUAAAAUGAAGUCAAUAAUGCCCCUUUUCUGAGGCCUCCCUUGGCCAGAUAUGAUUAAAUAUUUAUCAAACUAAGGACUCAGCUUACUUGGAGUGAAAACUCUUCAGGGCCUCUCAGAGAUACCUAAGAUAAGUACCUUAUUUUAGUAGCUCUCAAAUAAAGCUUCUUUUAUGCUCUGUCUUUUUCAUAUAUAAAAUAAGGUCUAAUUAGAAAGUUUUAUAAUGGAGGCAGUCAAUUCCCCAAUUCCUUAUUUGUUUGAAUUAACUUUUAAAAAAUUGGGGUGUUCACUCUGGCGUUGGCUCAAUCCAGACUCUGUAAUCAGCCAACAAUCUGUGCUUCACAAAGGCUGGCGUCCUAACUGCCAGCUUCUGCCAUCCGCACCUUUUCCGUGGGGUAAUACAUUUUAAUUGGUACUUCUCUGAGAGCCCUACACAUCUCCAUCUGGCCAAAUAAACAUACUUUUACUAUUCAGCCUCAACAUCUUGGCAGUUAACAAGAGGACAGACUUGCCACAAUGGGUAAUCUUUAAGAUGCAUAAAAUCCUAAAAUUAAAGGACCAGGUACAGGUGGUAUAAUCAAUGGCUGCCUAGAAGAUGGCUCAUCUACAAAGUGGCUUUGUGUUCCACAGUCUUUUUAACACUGCUCUUGUGAUCCUAAAUGCAGUUCCUGAGCCGAGUCAGCAUUGAGAGCUCUCUCCUCUCAAAGGGCACAUUAGUGAUGAAAUAUUUCACUUCCAAUGACAGCAUAACUUUUUGGAUAUAGGCUUAUUAGCAACGUGUUUCCACUGGUUGGAUUGAGCAAGUGUAACCAGAAGGCAGAAUGGUGAAAUGGUUAAGAGCAUGGGUUCUAGAGUCAGGCUGCGUUCAAAUUCUGCUGCUGUUAAUUUAUCUUUGUGACCUUGGGCAGUUACCAUACCUCUCUGUGCCUCAGUUUCCUCAUCAGUAAAGCAGAGAUAAUGUCAGUAUUUUCCUCAUAAGAGUAUUGCAAGGACUGAUUAAAUGAGAUAAGGUGUCUGAUAUGUUUAGCACAGGGCAUGACUUGUAUUUGCUAACAAUUAUUUUUAGGCAAGGUCAGUAGACCAAAUAACUUGAGCAGCAGAAAGGAAGUGGAAGGCGAAUAACCAGCUAUGAGGUUAUUUCUCAGAUAAUUUCUUCCUAUUUCAAUGCUUCACUUUUUACAGUUUAAUCAUCAAGCAACAGUGUUAGGGAUUACGUGAGAUAAUAUGGUCUGUGUGCUGAUUCACUCAUUUAGUGUGGUCUCAUUUCCUUAAAGAACACAUCUUGAGAGAACACUUUUUUUCUCUCUAACCCUCAGGGUCAUCUGGAUGAAAUGAAUACUUUUAGGGCAAAAUGGCUGAUACUGCUUCCUUGAUAACCACAUAUAGAAAACUGACAACUGUUUAGAACAAAGCCAAAGAUGAAACCAAAUAUAAAACCACUGAUGAAAACUAAGUGAAAAAUAUAAGCAAAAUAGAAGAAAAAUAAGGUCGUUAUUUCAAGAAAACGAAAGACAGUCAAUGCUGUUCUUUGUAUUCACAUACAAUUUGGUUCACACCAAAAUGUGAGUUGUUCUCUAUGAGAUGUUAUUAAAUGUUCCUAAGAAGACUCGCUUUAGAAAAAAACAGUAUUCCUAAGGCAUGUCCAAUCUGUCUCUUUUCUUAAUUGCUAUAGUUCUACUUUAUUAUUAUAAUGUAUUCAGCAUUAAAAUUCAUUAUUUCCCAAUAAGCUUGACUUUAUCUUAUAAUGAAAUACAACUGUCUUCUUGGUGAUUUUUAUAGGAGAUAUUAUGGAAAUAUUUUAUUAACAGAAGUAAAUAAAGUGUCAUAUCAUUUGGCUUUUCAGCCGUGUUAUAACAUUUGCAUUUUGUUUUUUCUGCCUUUACCCUCCCUGCUUCUAGCUGCAUAAAAUAAUGCAUUUUAAAAAUAAAAAUACAUUAUUUUUCAACAUAUGUGUGACAAUAAAAAGAUCACUGGGUCAGGGGUCAGACGAUCUGAGUUCUGCCCUUUCAUUUUCUUAUCUGUAAAAAUGAUUCCUAAGAUUCCUUCUAUUACUAACAUUUUAUAAUCUACAUUCAAAUUUUAUGUGAAAGUUUAGUGCAUCCGAGAUAACUAUUUUCAAAUAAGAAUCUCUUUUGAUGCUAACAUCUAUGCAUCAAAUUCUUCAUUCUCAAGUUGUAAGUUGCUCUUUACAUAAUUUCACCUAUGUACAUAUAUUCUAUAGAAAAAAGAGACAUUCCAGUAUCUUAACAAUGUCAAAAAGGAUAUACUGACACUAACAUUAACUGGAGAUUGGAAGACUAGACAAAUCAAGGCUAGAACUACAUAAGGGAAGCUAUUCUCCCAAAUACGCUGUUUUUGCUGUUGUUUAACCAAAGAUAUCUUCCCUUUCAUUCUUCUUUUUUAAAGCUAAGGAUAUUUAAGACAUUAAUAUGUUUGGCUAACUGAUUAAUA